rnacentral:sRNA from 1 species
CGAGCAGUUGUUCAACUAAACGAUUCUGCUGCUCGCUAUCA